rnacentral:rRNA from 1 species
AGAGUUUGAUCAUGGCUCAGGAUGAACGCUGGCGGCGUGCCUAACACAUGCAAGUCGAGCGAUUCUCUUCGGAGAAGAGCGGCGGACGGGUGAGUAACGCGUGGGUAACGUGCCCUGUACACACGGAUAACAUACCGAAAGGUAUGCUAAUACGGGAUAACAUAUUUUGAUGGCAUCAUCGAAAUAUCAAAGCUCCGGCGGUACAGGAUGGACCCGCGUCUGAUUAGCUAGUUGGUGAGGUAAUGGCUCACCAAGGCGACGAUCAGUAGCCGACCUGAGAGGGUGAUCGGCCACAUUGGAACUGAGACACGGUCCAAACUCCUACGGGAGGCAGCAGUGGGGAAUAUUGCACAAUGGGCGAAAGCCUGAUGCAGCAACGCCGCGUGAGCGAUGAAGGCCUUCGGGUCGUAAAGCUCUGUCCUCAAGGAAGAUAAUGACGGUACUUGAGGAGGAAGCCCCGGCUAACUACGUGCCAGCAGCCGCGGUAAUACGUAGGGGGCUAGCGUUAUCCGGAAUUACUGGGCGUAAAGGGUGCGUAGGUGGUUUUUUAAGUCAGAAGUGAAAGGCUACGGCUCAACCGUAGUAAGCUUUUGAAACUGAGAAACUUGAGUGCAGGAGAGGAGAGUAGAAUUCCUAGUGUAGCGGUGAAAUGCGUAGAUAUUAGGAGGAAUACCAGUUGCGAAGGCGGCUCUCUGGACUGUAACUGACACUGAGGCACGAAAGCGUGGGGAGCAAACAGGAUUAGAUACCCUGGUAGUCCACGCCGUAAACGAUGAGUACUAGGUGUCGGGGGUUACCCCCCUCGGUGCCGCAGCUAACGCAUUAAGUACUCCGCCUGGGAAGUACGCUCGCAAGAGUGAAACUCAAAGGAAUUGACUGG